rnacentral:rRNA from 1 species
GACAGAGGGGGCAAGCGUUGCUCGGAAUUACUGGGCGUAAAGGGCGCGUAGGCGGGAUGGCAAGUCGGUCGUGAAAUCCCUCGGCUCAACCGAGGAACGUCGAUCGAUACUGCUGUUCUUGAGGAUUGCAGAGGAGACUGGAAUUCCCGGUGUAGCGGUGAAAUGUGUAGAGAUCGGGAGGAACACCGGUGGCGAAGGCAGGUCUCUGGGCUGACACUGACGCUCAUGCACGAAAGCGUGGGGAGCAAACAGG